rnacentral:rRNA from 1 species
AACGAACGCUGGCGGCAUGCCUAACACAUGCAAGUCGAACGAGACCUUCGGGUCUAGUGGCGCACGGGUGCGUAACGCGUGGGAACCUGCCCUUAGGUUCGGAAUAACUCCCCGAAAGGGGUGCUAAUACCGGAUAAUGUCUUCGGACCAAAGAUUUAUCGCCUUUGGAUGGGCCCGCGUUGGAUUAGCUAGUUGGUAGGGUAAAAGCCUACCAAGGCGACGAUCCAUAGCUGGUCUGAGAGGAUGAUCAGCCACACCGGGACUGAGACACGGCCCAGACUCCUACGGGAGGCAGCAGUGGGGAAUAUUGUACAAUGGGCGAAAGCCUGAUCCAGCAAUGCCGCGUGAGUGAUGAAGGCCUUAGGGUUGUAAAGCUCUUUUACCCGGGAUGAUAAUGACAGUACCGGGAGAAUAAGCUCCGGCUAACUCCGUG